rnacentral:rRNA from 1 species
CCUACGGGUGGCAGCAGUCGGGAAUAUUGCGCAAUGGAGGAAACUCUGACGCAGUGACGCCGCGUGCAGGAAGAAGGUUUUCGGAUUGUAAACUGCUUUAGACAGGGAAGAAAAAAGAUAGUACCACAAGAGGAAGAGACGGCUAACUCUGUGCCAGCAGCCGCGGUAAUACAGAGGUCUCAAGCGUUGUUCGGAAUCACUGGGCGUAAAGCGUGCGUAGGCUGUUUCGUAAGUCGUGUGUGAAAGGCGCGGGCUCAACCCGCGGACGGCACAUGAUACUGCGAGACUAGAGUAAUGGAGGGGGAACCGGAAUUCUCGGUGUAGCAGUGAAAUGCGUAGAUAUCGAGAGGAACACUCGUGGCGAAGGCGGGUUCCUGGACAUUAACUGACGCUGAGGCACGAAGGCCAGGGGAGCGAAAGGGAUUAGAUACCCCAGUAGUC